AUACGCCCGUAUAAAAUACGGGACGUAUUAUGUGAAACCCCUUGGCGGGCGGCGGGCGGGCGGCGGGCGGCGGGCGGAAGGCAUCACUUUGUCCGGACUCUAAUUCAAAUUGUAUUCAUCCGAUCUUCACCAAACUUGGUCAGCAGUUGCAUCUAGUUGAUAUCUAGGCCAAGUUCGAAUAUGGGUCAUGCCGGGUCAAAAACUAGGUCAUAGGGUCAAUAAGUGCAUUUUCAAAGGGGCCACUUUGUCCGGACUCUAUUUCAAAUUGUAUUCAUCCGAUCUUCACCAAACUUGGUCAGCAGUUGCAUCUAGUUGAUAUCUAGGCCAAGUUCGAAUAUGGGUCAUGCCGGGUCAAAAACUAGGUCAUAGGGUCAAUUAGUGCAUUUUCAACGGCGCCACUUUGUCCGGACUCUAAUUCAAAUUGUAUUCAUCCGAUCUUCACCAAAUUUGGUCAGAAGUUGUGUCUAGAUGAUAUGUAGGUCAAGUUCAAAUAUGGGUCAUGCCGGGUCAAAAACUAGGUCACGAGGUUACUUAGUGCAUUUCAAGCAUUUAGCAUGGUGUCCGCUCUCUAAUUGAAGUAGUUUUCAUCUGAUCUUCACCUAAUUUGGUCAGAAGUUGUGUCUAGAUGAUAUGUAGGUCAAGUUCGAACAUGGGUCAUGCCGGGUCAAAAACUAGGUCACGAGGUUACUUAGUGCAUUUCAAGCAUUUAGCAUGGUGUCCGCUCUCUAAUUGAAGUAGUUUUCAUCUGAUCUUCACCUAAUUUGGUCAGAAGUUGUGUCUAGAUGAUAUGUAGGUCAAGUUCGAACAUGGGUCAUGCCGGGUCAAAAACGAGGUCACAUAGUGCAUUUCAAGCAUUAAGCAUGUUGUCCGCUCUUUAAUUGAAGUAGUUUUCAUCUGAUCUUCACCAAAUUUAGUCAGAUGUUACAUCUAAGUGAUAUCUAGGUCAAGUUCAAAUAUGGGUCAUGCCGGGUCAAUAACUAGGUCUUGAGGACACUUUCAAGCAUUGAGCAUGGUGUCCAAAACCUUCGAACGGGCGUAUCUUGUGACAGUUUGGCACUCUUGUUAAGUAUU